AGUUUUUUUUAUUCAACAUAUAUGUGACAUAUUGAAGUUUAAUAUUUUUUCCACCACAUUUUCUUUUUUUCACUUAUUAGGUGUAAGAUUUAUAAUUUCAUUUUUUAUAGCUAAGUUUCUUAGAUCUAUCUCGCAACUAUUUCAAAUGAUAAAGUUUGAAACCUAAAUAUAUGCAAAUUGUAUGUUUCUUACUUGUAAUAUUAUUUGGUUUUC
rnacentral:lncRNA from 1 species